CGAAAAGUCACUAACACUGGGACGAUUUGGUCGGGCGGACCCCGCGGCUACUCCACGCCAGGAACCCGAUACCCAGGGUGGAGGGGGGCAGCAGGAGCGAGGACCCGGAGCGCGAGCAGCUGCAAGAGCAGCGGGGGCACCCGCACUCCUCGCCUGCCGACCCACGCUGCGCGCCCCUUCCUCUGAUUGGACGGGAGCAGCCCGGGGGGCGGGCGGACGGGAGGGAAGGCAGAGAUUGGCUAAGCGUGGGAAGAAGGCGGAGCCUUGUCGGGGAGGGAGGCGGAGCUUGGCUCCUAGGGCUAGCCCGGUCCCCCCGCUGGGAUUCCGCCCGGGGCUGGCGGCUCUGAGGCCUUCCAGAUAGACGACCCAGCAACCGGUGACGCCGCCCGCAGGAGGCCGACGACUGGUCAGCCGGGGACGCGGGACUGGAGCGUGACUCCCUAUCUCGAGGCGCCUCCCAGCUGCCCCACUCGGCGGCCGCGCGCUCCGCCUGCCCCUUCCUCCGACGCCCCAGUCCCGCGAUCCGGGAGGCGGGGGCGGCGAGCCGGCUGAGUGGGGGCUGCGCGGCGUACAAGGAGCCAGUCGGCGACCGAUUUCCUCCCAUUCACAGACCCUUUUGCUUCCAGGGCAAACUACAUCAUGGAAUGAGGUACACAAGAGAGACCUGAGGGCUGUACUCUGGCACUCAGUUACCAAAUCAGCCCCUAGAUCAGGGUCUGUCUUCCCUAACAUUUGUAAUGGGGGGAAAUUGUAUCUUUGUGUAAAUGCCAUUUUUGUAGGCAUGUUUUUGUUUGUGCAUUUGUCUUGCCUUCCUUGGGCAUGUGCCCUGGGAGACAGAGGGUGGGUUCCCAGAAACUUGGCCUGAGAGGUCUCCAUGGUCCCUGGAGACCCCCAAGUGAUGUGGAGCCCUCAUUAGUAUGCACAUUGCUCUCUUUAGCAUUUGGAUCAAACACUUGAGUCCUGAGGGAAGGUUUUAUUCACAGGAGGGCAACCACUCUUUUGAACUGACAGCCUAGAAUCGACAGCCCAAGUGUCUGGGCCGAAAGUUCCCUCUGGAAGGAUGGGCUCCCUUUAAAGACUGCUUUUGGGUCUGCAGAGGGACUCCUUCCCCUGCUUGUAGCUUUUGCUUAAUCUCGUAUCUGUGAAUAAGGUGUCUAGGAUUUAAAACACUGCAGACCAAAAAAAAAAAAAGAGAGAGAGAGAGAGAGAGAGAGAAAGUGUGGGAGUGGAGGAGUGUGACAGAUGAAACAAUAACAAAAUGUAGGUAGAUGCUUAGGUGAGGGGGUGAUUCAUGAUAUUCUUUAGUUUUUUAUAUUUGAAAAUGUCCUUUAAGGCAAUACCCUUUUCCCUCCAGGAAAUACUCCCCUCUUCUAUCUCUCCCUGCCUCUGUCCCCUUUGCUCAAUGUAAAUUCAUGUUGUCCUCUUACUUCACCCUGCAGUGUACAGAACAUCCUGUUACAAAGGCAUGAGAAGAGAACAUCCUGUAGUGGCCACUCCUGCCCAUCGUGGAGGGAGCAGAAACUGCAGAGCUGAGGUUUGUGGCUUUCAAGGCUUUUUUCAAUGGAUCCCAUUUAUGGGGUGUUUUAAGCAGAGCUGAGUAUUUAGGAUGUUUCUAUCUGCCAAUAAGAAAAUGCUGACCAUUUUGUUUGCUUCCUCUCCCUGACCUGUUGAGUGACACAGCCUAUAUAUAUAUAUUUUAUAGAAGCUAUAUCUAAUCUUCACUGAAUUUAGCUGGGACCAACCCAUGGGCCUCGAGGAGAACUGUCAGUGACGGGGCCUGCGGGAGGUUCUGUACAGAAAGGCUGAGCCUGCCCCCAGACAGCUACCUGGACCAACCUGUCAGAAAGAUACAGGGAUAACAUCAG
rnacentral:lncRNA from 1 species